rnacentral:lncRNA from 1 species
ACAGGGUUUGGAAGUUGGUCACCCACUGGCCCAUAGCAAGGACAAUCCCAUCAUGAGUAGGAAGUGGUCGUGGAUAGUCUCCAGCAGGCUGAAGCUGUGAGACUGUUCAUACUCUCGUUGAUGAUGACUUGGAAUGCAAGGGAAUGUGCUGAGGAUCUGAGAAGUAAGGGAGAACAGAAAUUCUAAGAACAAUGGUCGUGGAUGACAGUUCCGUGUGCACUGGAAAAAGACAAUGAAAGGCUAAGGGUGAUUAAUCACCACUUAAAGGCUAAAUGUGAAAGGCAGAGAGAUUUCUUGGCAAUGUCUCAGGAGAACUCAUCUAUAGCCAAAGAUACACCAAGGGCCGGGCCCAGGUCUUACAAUGAGAAACAGAUCACCAGAGGAGGAGAAACGGCCUUGGAAGGUCUGCUGCUCCAGGCAUUGUCAUCAUCUGGAUCAGCAGUGCCUGAGGACAGGGAUUUUGUCUGGCCAGUUUGUUCACUGCAAGCCCUGAGAUGCAGCCCGGUGAAGGAGGGAAAUGGGCACUGAAG